rnacentral:lncRNA from 1 species
GGUGUCUCCCGGCGCGGCCCGUCCUCCGUGGGGAGGCCAGGCCGAGGCGAGCACACCUGGAGCGCAGCAACGCCGUACCUGGGUGACAGCAGCGUGACGUUUCAGCGCGUCUUUUCUCAUUUGAUCCUGGCAACCACCUUCUGCCACCGAAAGGUCCCCAUUGGGUAUCUGGCAAAACCGGAGAUCAGAGGGAUUCAGUCCCAGGAAUUUGGCCGACUCAGCCUCAAUAUGUAGCCCAGAGCUGUAUGUGGGGAGGUGUUCAGAGUUUUUGUUGAAUGAACAUAUGCAUCUAUUUUUUACAUCCUACUGCACCCCUGAGCAGAGAGCUUCCCCUCAAGCCCCUCAGCUCCGACUUCCCAGCCUGACAACUGUUCAGGGGAGCUCUUGCGAUGCUGCACAGGGGGCGACCAGAUUCUCAGGGCCCAAAACAGCUGCCAGGCAAGCCUCUCUCUGUUGGCUCUUCUCCGAGCUCCUGGACACUGGCAGGAUCCUUAUGAUCAUCAUCUCAGACAGAAGAACAAUCAAACACAAGAUCAUUUUGGAAGGGCCCGAAGAGUACAACAUGAUAAAGAGAUUCUGA